rnacentral:misc_RNA from 1 species
AAAAAGACAACAUGUUGUGAGCGACACUCAGACCUCCAAGUCGCACAAAAGUGGUCAAUUGACCUUUUCCGUGCCUCAGCAAAUUUCCUGAACGUCAGUAGAGAUUGUGAGACCUGUGAGACAACGGACUCAGUCAACUACAGGUAGUGGAUCUGUGUGUGUGAUCCUGUUAGUGUGUGAAUCUGUCCUCAUACUUGAACCUCCAGAUCUGCAUCUGCAUCUGCAUCUUGACCUACGGUACUCUCCUCUUCCUGCACCACUUAGUGGUUACAUUCAGUGCACUAACAAUGGCGACAUUAGUGUCACGUAUCAAUCCGGUGAAGUAACUGCCAGGUGGAGUUCUGACCCAGCUAAACUCUUCCGAUGGCGGCGCUAGACCAGAGCAGAACUGGUAACCAGAAAGUGGUGGUAAGAUGGGAGUCUCAUCAUUCUGAAGUUCGGUGAGUGUGUCAUACCGGUACAGAUAUGGAGUUGCUGGUCUCAUUGAGUGAACAAGUCGGACUGAAUCUCUUUCCGCACAACAUUUUCACAUCUGACUUGUGACCACACAGCUCGAGAGCAUAAUCCAUCACCGCCCAGUUCCUAGACCGAAGCAAACAUGUUGCGCGUCCCAGAGGCAGCUACAGUGCUCAUACCUUGUACAGUCUUGUACAAGUUGGUCACAUUACAUACUGUGCUGUGUACAGUAUGUACUGUGACUGUAGGAGAUUGUGGGGGGAAGUGUCGGAGAACACUUACGUGGAAACAGUUGACGUGAUUUGGAAUCAGUCCACGUGAAAUCAGAUCACCUUCGCCAUUAACGUAACUAAGCGUGGUGGUCUCCAUCUCGUGAACAGCCGCAUGAAAACACACUAAAAUGCCAGGGACUAACAACCGAUUUAAUGGCAGGAACACCAGGGGUCAAAAUAUGUGUCAUCUACGUCGUCUGCGUCACAUGAUUUUGAUUUUAGUCAGAUGUAUCAUUCUGCAGCCUGGUUUAGUUCUACAGGGACACAUUGUGGGAUGCGUGUGUGGUAUGGGACAGGGACAAGUCUGAGUCAGCGGAAGAGAAGAGGCGAAAUGAGUCAGCUAAGCACCAGGGGCUAAUAUGAACCAGUUAAGCUGCAACCAAUCACUCCAAUUUCCCCAAUUGUUGCUCAACAACAGAUAUCUGGUCGCUUCUAAUGGACUAUUACUAACCCCGGUUUCUAACCAGCUCACUCUGAUCUCCUCCGAGUCACUUCCGAUCUCUAAGCACAUUUCAUACAACAAUUGGUACUAGUCCUAAAAGAGUCAGGAUAGACGAGACAAAGAAGGACAACAAUGCAACAACAAUGCGAGCGUUUUAAAAGGUGGGGUACAGUAGUCGAUUUACACCCGUCUAGUUUAGUCUGGAGCUGUUGGUACUGGUAGGGCUGUCAUGUGCUUCGAGUAGCUACAAGUAGUACGAAGGUC